rnacentral:rRNA from 1 species
AACGAACGCUGGCGGCAUGCCUAACACAUGCAAGUCGAACGAGACCUUCGGGUCUAGUGGCGCACGGGUGCGUAACGCGUGGGAACCUGCCCUUAGGUUCGGAAUAACUCCCCGAAAGGGGUGCUAAUACCGGAUAAUGUCUUCGGACCAAAGAUUUAUCGCCUUUGGAUGGGCCCGCGUUGGAUUAGCUUGUUGGUAGGGUAAAAGCCUACCAAGGCGACGAUCCAUAGCUGGUCUGAGAGGAUGAUCAGCCACACUGGGACUGAGACACGGGCCAGACUCCGACGGGAGGCAGGAGAGGGGAAUAUUGGACGAGGGGCGAAAGCCUGAUGCAGCAAUGCCGCGUGAGUGAGGAAGGCCUUAGGGUUGUAAAGCUCUUUUACCCGGGAUGAUAAUGACAGUACCGGGAGAAUAAGCACCGGCUAACUACGUG